rnacentral:misc_RNA from 1 species
CAUCCUGGAGGUAACACAACAAUUCAGUUAUUCAGUUGACUGAAACUUUGAAAAUUUCUCCAAUGAUGAAUUAAUUGUUCUAUAUACAAAGCAUCUGGUGUUCUACAAAUAAUAUAAGGUAUCACUGAACCAGUAGGAUGCAAUUAAAUUAUUACAUUUCUGCUUACGCUUAAAACAAUAUCACUGUGAAUGCACAUCAGCAAGAAG